UGGGUUGCAACCUCUUUUAAAAAUGGUUCUCACAUAUGGAAAAGCAUGGGCAGGGGACUCUAUGCUAGCAGUGUACAAUGGAACAUAGGUAGUGGUAGUUCCAUAUCCCUCUGGUUUGAUAAUUGGUUUGGGGACCCUUAGAUCCCUUAUCUUUGGUCCUCUGAACCGAGGUGAAGAGAAUCUCCUUAUUUCAUCCUCUAUCAGAAGUAGUUCGGAUGGACUCGUUGAGAAGCACCAUAGAGCCGGAUCUAAC
rnacentral:misc_RNA from 1 species